rnacentral:rRNA from 1 species
AGAGUUUGAUCCUGGCUCAGAUUGAACGCUGGCGGCAUGCCUUACACAUGCAAGUCGAACGGCAGCACGGGAGCAAUCCUGGUGGCGAGUGGCGAACGGGUGAGUAAUAUAUCGGAACGUGCCCAGUCGUGGGGGAUAACGCAGCGAAAGCUGUGCUAAUACCGCAUACGAUCUCUGGAUGAAAGCGGGGGACCGCAAGGCCUCGCGCGAUUGGAGCGGCCGAUAUCAGAUUAGCUAGUUGGUGGGGUAAAAGCCCACCAAGGCGACGAUCUGUAGCUGGUCUGAGAGGACGACCAGCCACACUGGAACUGAGACACGGUCCAGACUCCUACGGGAGGCAGCAGUGGGGAAUUUUGGACAAUGGGCGCAAGCCUGAUCCAGCAAUGCCGCGUGCAGGAAGAAGGCCUUCGGGUUGUAAACUGCUUUUGUACGGAGCGAAAAGGCUCUCUCUAAUACAGGGGGUUCAUGACGGUACCGUAAGAAUAAGCACCGGCUAACUACGUGCCAGCAGCCGCGGUAAUACGUAGGGUGCGAGCGUUAAUCGGAAUUACUGGGCGUAAAGCGUGCGCAGGCGGUUUUGUAAGACAGGCGUGAAAUCCCCGGGCUCAACCUGGGAAUGGCGCUUGUGACUGCAAAGCUGGAGUGCGGCAGAGGGGGAUGGAAUUCCGCGUGUAGCAGUGAAAUGCGUAGAUAUGCGGGGGAACACCGAUGGCGAAGGCAAUCCCCUGGACCUGUACUGACGCUCAUGCACGAAAGCGUGGGGAGCAAACAGGAUUAGAUACCCUGGUAGUCCACGCCCUAAACGAUGUCAACUGGUUGUUGGGUCUUUACUGACUCAGUAACGAAGCUAACGCGUGAAGUUGACCGCCUGGGGAGUACGGCCGCAAGGUUG